rnacentral:tRNA from 1 species
GCGGAUAUAGUGUUUAACGGUUAGCACAUGAUCCUUCCAAGUUCGUAGUACCGAUUCGAAUUCGGUUAUCCGCUCCA